rnacentral:tRNA from 1 species
GCGUUGGUGGUAUAGUGGUGAGCAUAGCUGCCUUCCGAGCAGUGACCCGGGUUAGAUUCCUUGCCAACGCA